rnacentral:rRNA from 1 species
UAAUAUAUCGGAACGUGUCCUGUAGAGGGGGAUAGCCCGGCGAAAGCCGGAUUAAUACCGCAUACGAUCUACGGAUGAAAGUGGGGGACCGCAAGGCCUCACGUUAUAGGAGCGGCCGAUAUUCGAUUAGCUUGUUGGUGAGGUAAAGGCUCACCAAGGCUACGAUCGAUAGCUGGUCUGAGAGGAUGAUCAGCCACACUGGGACUGAGACACGGCCCAG